rnacentral:rRNA from 1 species
GAAACAUCUAAGUACCCCGAGGAAAAGAAAUCAACCGAGAUUCCCCCAGUAGCGGCGAGCGAACGGGGAGCAGCCCAGAGUCUGAAUCAGCUUGUGUGUUAGUGGAACGGUCUGGAAAGUCCGACGGUACAGGGUGAUAGUCCCGUACACCAAAAUGCACAGGUUGUGAACUCGAAGAGUAGGGCGGGACACGUGGUAUCCUGUCUGAAUAUGGGGGGACCAUCCUCCAAGGCUAAAUACUCCUGACUGACCGAUAGUGAACCAGUACCGUGAGGGAAAGGCGAAAAGAACCCCGGCGAGGGGAGUGAAAAAGAACCUGAAACCGUGUACGUACAAGCAGUGGGAGCACCUUCGGGUGUGACUGCGUACCUUUUGUAUAAUGGGUCAGCGACUUAUAUUCUGUAGCAAGGUUAACCGUAUAGGGGAGCCGCAGGGAAACCGAGUCUUAACUGGGCGUUAAGUUGCAGGGUAUAGACCCGAAACCCGGUGAUCUAGCCAUGGGCAGGUUGAAGGUUGGGUAACACUAACUGGAGGACCGAACCGACUAAUGUUGAAAAAUUAGCGGAUGACUUGUGGCUGGGGGUGAAAGGCCAAUCAAACCGGGAGAUAGCUGGUUCUCCCCGAAAGCUAUUUAGGUAGCGCCUCGUGAACUCAUCUUCGGGGGUAGAGCACUGUUUCGGCUAGGGGGUCAUCCCGACUUACCAACCCGAUGCAAACUACGAAUACCGAAGAAUGUUAUCACGGGAGACACACGGCGGGUGCUAACGUCCGUCGUGAAGAGGGAAACAACCCAGACCGCCAGCUAAGGUCCCAAAGUCAUGGUUAAGUGGGAAACGAUGUGGGAAGGCACAGACAGCCAGGAUGUUGGCUUAGAAGCAGCCAUCAUUUAAAGAAAGCGUAAUAGCUCACUGGUCGAGUCGGCCUGCGCGGAAGAUGUAACGGGGCUAAACCAUGCACCGAAGCUGCGGCAGCGACACUAUGUGUUGUUGGGUAGGGGAGCGUUCUGUAAGCCUGCGAAGGUGUGCUGUGAGGCAUGCUGGAGGUAUCAGAAGUGCGAAUGCUGACAUAAGUAACGAUAAAGCGGGUGAAAAGCCCGCUCGCCGGAAGACCAAGGGUUCCUGUCCAACGUUAAUCGGGGCAGGGUGAGUCGACCCCUAAGGCGAGGCCGAAAGGCGUAGUCGAUGGGAAACAGGUUAAUAUUCCUGUACUUGGUGUUACUGCGAAGGGGGGACGGAGAAGGCUAUGUUAGCCGGGCGACGGUUGUCCCGGUUUAAGCAUGUAGGCUGAUUGUCCAGGCAAAUCCGGAUAAUCAAGGCUGAGGUGUGAUGACGAGGCACUACGGUGCUGAAGUAACAAAUGCCCUGCUUCCAGGAAAAGCCUCUAAGCAUCAGGUAACAUUAAAUCGUACCCCAAACCGACACAGGUGGUCAGGUAGAGAAUACCAAGGCGCUUGAGAGAACUCGGGUGAAGGAACUAGGCAAAAUGGUGCCGUAACUUCGGGAGAAGGCACGCUGGUGUGUAGGUGAAGUCCCUGCGGAUGGAGCUGAGACCAGUCGAAGAUACCAGCUGGCUGCAACUGUUUAUUAAAAACACAGCACUGUGCAAACACGAAAGUGGACGUAUACGGUGUGACGCCUGCCCGGUGCCGGAAGGUUAAUUGAUGGGGUUAUCCGUAAGGAGAAGCUCUUGAUCGAAGCCCCGGUAAACGGCGGCCGUAACUAUAACGGUCCUAAGGUAGCGAAAUUCCUUGUCGGGUAAGUUCCGACCUGCACGAAUGGCGUAAUGAUGGCCAGGCUGUCUCCACCCGAGACUCAGUGAAAUUGAACUCGCUGUGAAGAUGCAGUGUACCCGCGGCAAGACGGAAAGACCCCGUGAACCUUUACUAUAGCUUGACACUGAACAUUGAGCCUUGAUGUGUAGGAUAGGUGGGAGGCUUUGAAGCGUGGACGCCAGUCUGCGUGGAGCCAACCUUGAAAUACCACCCUUUAAUGUUUGAUGUUCUAACGUUGGCCCCUUACCGGGGUUGCGGACAGUGUCUGGUGGGUAGUUUGACUGGGGCGGUCUCCUCCCAAAGCGUAACGGAGGAGCACGAAGGUUAGCUAAUCCUGGUCGGACAUCAGGAGGUUAGUGCAAUGGCAUAAGCUAGCUUGACUGCGAGCGUGACGGCGCGAGCAGGUGCGAAAGCAGGUCAUAGUGAUCCGGUGGUUCUGAAUGGAAGGGCCAUCGCUCAACGGAUAAAAGGUACUCCGGGGAUAACAGGCUGAUACCGCCCAAGAGUUCAUAUCGACGGCGGUGUUUGGCACCUCGAUGUCGGCUCAUCACAUCCUGGGGCUGAAGUAGGUCCCAAGGGUAUGGCUGUUCGCCAUUUAAAGUGGUACGCGAGCUGGGUUUAGAACGUCGUGAGACAGUUCGGUCCCUAUCUGCCGUGGGCGCUGGAGAAUUGAGGGGGGCUGCUCCUAGUACGAGAGGACCGGAGUGGACGCAUCACUGGUGUUCGGGUUGUCAUGCCAAUGGCACUGCCCGGUAGCUAAAUGCGGAAGAGAUAAGUGCUGAAAGCAUCUAAGCACGAAACUUGCCCCGAGAUGAGUUCUCCCUGAGACUUUAAGUCUCCUGAAGGAACGUUGAAGACGACGACGUUGAUAGGCCGGGUGUGUAAGCGCAGCGAUGCGUUGAGCUAACCGGUACUAAUGAACCGUGAGGCUUAACCUU